AUGAACAGAUCCAUAAAUUUGACUGAUGAACCUCAAAGGAGUGUUACGGGCUUCACAACAGAGACUGAGAGUUUGUUGGUGUUUGCUUGCUUAAGUUCCUGCACCAAAGUAUCUGCUGCCAUUUCAGAAAUCAGCUGGCAGACAACUUGUGAGUGCUCAGACCCAUCUCUUUUGUCAAACCUGUAUCCCUGUGUGGGGUUUGACAGUAGAAAAAAGAGGCAAAAUGCACUGUGGAUUGAAAUGGAUAUGCAGAUAUUGAUGUAGCAAGUUUUACUUUCACUGGAAAUAUGCCUAACGAAGUCAAAGAAGAACACUGAAGAUCAAGAAUUAAUCUUUGAACAAUGUGCUUGGGGAGCCAAACAACUUACAAGGUAUGAAGUCAGGUGGUGGUUUGGCUUUAUGAGCCAAGGAAUACAAGCUAUCCCAUGAAAAUAGACACAAACUAAAGGGCACUUGAGUGUCACAUAUGUUUUCACUGCUAGAAACUGGAGAGUCAUUGGAGACUUCCAUCAGUCAAGGCCAAACAGAAAGCUCAUUGUGAGCUUGGGUCCCAGAGGCUGCUACCACUUCAUGAAAAUUUUCCUGGGAAACAAUGGUUGCUAGCAGAACUGGGCAGCCCUGGGCUGG
rnacentral:lncRNA from 1 species